AUGCAGCUGAUGAGUUCCAAACAGGACGAAACGCAAGUCCUAU
rnacentral:hammerhead_ribozyme from 1 species